rnacentral:rRNA from 1 species
AUUGAACGCUGGCGGCAGGCCUAACACAUGCAAGUCGAGCGAAGCGGGGACGGGUGAGUAACACGUGGAUAACCUCCUAUAAGACUGGGAUAACUUCGGGAAACCGGAGCUAAACCGGAUACUUAUAGAUGGAUCCGCGCUGCAUUAGCUAGUUGGUAAGGUAACGGCUGACCAAGGCAACGAUGCAUAGCCGACCUGAGAGGAUGAUCGGCAAAACUGGAACUGGGACACGGCCCAGACUCCUAGGGGCGGAGUCGGUGGGGAAUUUUGCGCAAUGGGGAAAAGCCUGAGGGAGCAACGCCGCGUGAGUGAUGAAGGUCUUAGGAUUGUAAAGCUCUUUUAUUCGGGAGGCGGUACCGAAUCAGAAAGCCACGGCUAACUCCGUGCCAGCAGCCGCGGUAAUAC